rnacentral:rRNA from 1 species
AGAACGAACGCUGGCGGCAUGCCUAAUACAUGCAAGUCGAACGAACUCUUCGGAGUUAGUGGCGCACGGGUGCGUAACGCGUGGGAAUCUGCCCCUUGGUUCGGAAUAACAGUCGGAAACGACUGCUAAUACCGGAUGGUGACGAAAGUCCAAAGAUUUAUCGCCAAGGGAUGAGCCCGCGUAGGAUUAGCUAGUUGGUGAGGUAAGGGCUCACCAAGGCAACGAUCCUUAGCUGGUCUGAGAGGAUGAUCAGCCACACUGGGACUGAGACACGGCCCAGACUCCUACGGGAGGCAGCAGUAGGGAAUAUUGGACAAUGGGCGAAAAGCCUGAUCCAGCAAAUGCCGCGUGAGUGAAGAAGGCC